AUAGCUCAGUGGUAAAGUGCAUGCUUUGUAUGCAUUAAGCCCUGGGUUCAAUUCCCCAGU
rnacentral:tRNA from 1 species